UUCCCUUUCUCCUUUCCUUUCUUUUUUUUUUUUUUUUUUUUUUUUUUUUUUUUUUUUUUUUUUUUUUUUUUGUGGUUUUUGGCUGCUGAAAGAGGUUUUUUUUUUUUUUUUUUUUUUUUUUUUUUUUUUUUAUUUUUAU